GUGUCAGCAGCCGCGGUAAUACGGAGGAUCCGGGCGUUAUCCGGAUUUAUUGGGUUUAAAGGGUGCGCAGGCGGGGGAUUAAGUCGGCGGUGAAAUUUUGCAGCUCAACUGUAAAAGUGCCUUCGAAACUGGUUUCCUUGAGUGUAGAUGAAGUAGGCGGAAUUUGUGGUGUAGCGGUGAAAUGCUUAGAUAUCACGAGGAACUCCGAUUGCGCAGGCAGCUUACUAAACUACUACUGACGCUCAGGCACGAAGGCGUGGGGAUCAAACAGGAUUAGAUACCCUUGUAGUCC
rnacentral:rRNA from 1 species